rnacentral:rRNA from 1 species
GAUGAACGCUGGCGGCGUGCCUAAUACAUGCAAGUCGAGCGAACAGACGAGGAGCUUGCUCCUCUGACGUUAGCGGCGGACGGGUGAGUAACACGUGGAUAACCUACCUAUAAGACGGGGAUAACUUCGGGAAACCGGAGCAAAUACCGGAUAAUCUAUUGAACCGCAGGGUGCAAUAGUGAAAGUCGGUUUUUCGGUCACUUAUAGAUGGAUCCGCGCCGCAUUAGCGAGUUUGUAAGGUAACGGCUUACCAAGGGAACGAGGCGUGGCCGACCUCAGAGGGUGGUCGGCCACACUGGAACUGAUCCACGGUCCAGACUCCUACGGGAGGCAGCAGUAGGGAAUCUUCCGCAAUGGGCGAAAGCCUGACGGAGCAACGCCGAGUGAGUGAUGAAGGUCUUCGGAUCGUAAAACUCUGUUAUUAGGGAAGAACAAAUGUGUAAGUAACUAUGCACGUCUUGACGGUACCUAAUCAGAAAGCCACGGCUAACUACGUG